UACGUAGGUCCCCGAGCGUUGCCCGGAUUUAUUGGGCGUAAAGCGAGCGCAGGCGGUUAGAUAAGUCUGAAGUUAAAGGCUGUGGCUUAACCAUAGUAUGCUUUGGAAACUGUUUAACUUGAGUGCAGAAGGGGAGAGUGGAAUUCCAUGUGUAGCGGUGGAAUGCGUAGAUAUAUGGAGGAACACCGGUGGCGAAAGCGGCUCCCUGGUCUGUAACUGACGCUGAGGCUCGAAAGCGUGGGGAGCAAACAGGAUUAGAAACCCGGGUAGU
rnacentral:rRNA from 1 species